rnacentral:rRNA from 1 species
UACGUAGGGUGCAAGCGUUGCCCGGAUUUAUUGGGCGUAAAGGGCGCGUAGGCGGCUCGGCACGUCCGUUGUGAAAUCGCCCGGCUCAACUGGGCGGGGUCAGCGGAUACGGUCGAGCUUGAGCAAGCUAGGGGGCAAUGGAAUUCCCGGUGUAGUGGUGGAAUGCGCAGAUAUCAGGAGGAACACCGGUGGCGAAGGCGGUUCUCUGGGCAUUACCUGACGCUGAGGAGCGAAAGUGUGGGGAGCGAACAGG